rnacentral:rRNA from 1 species
CUACGGGGGGCUCCAGUGAGGAAUAUUGGUCAAUGGGCGCAAGCCUGAACCAGCCAAUCCGCGUGCAGGAUGACUGCCCUAUGGGUUGUAAACUGCUUUUAUACAGGAAGAACCCUCCAUACGUGUAUGGGGUUAACUGUACUGUAAGAAUAAGCAUCGGCUAACUCCGUGCCAGCAGCCGCGGUAAUACGGAGGAUGCGAGCGUUAUCCGGAUUUAUUAGGUCUAAAGGGUGCGUAGGCGGAUAAUUAAGUCAGUGGUGAAAUCCUACAGCUUAACUGUAGAACUGCCAUUGAUACUGGUUGUCUUGAGUUUAGUUGAGGUAAGCGGAAUGUGUAGUGUAGCGGUGAAAUGCUUAGAUAUUACACAGUACACCGAUUGCGAAGGCAGCUUACUAAGCUACAACUGACGCUGAGGCACGAAAGCGUGGGGAGCGAACAGGAUUAGAUACCCUCGUAGUC